AUCACGUCUCAGCCUUUGGCUAAGAUCAAGUUUAGGUAUCUGUUCUUAUCAGUUUAACAUCAGAUACAUCCUCUGAGGACAAUAUAGUACAUGGAUUUUUGGAGCAGGGAGGUAGAACAGGAGCUUGCUCCAUCCUUGCCGGUCAUUGGCCUGGUAAAUGUGGCACCUCUGGGAAUGGCGCACCGCCU